GCAAAUGGGGACACGCCUGGAGAGCAGUUUUGUGACAGCAGCUGGAGCUCUGGGACGUGUCCUCACACCACGGCUGCUGGUGCACCCACCUACCUGCUGGCCUCCACGCUGUGCGACCAUAUACAGGCACGACCCUACAGCGCCGAUGCUCCCGCAGCCCACAGCACCCCCUGCUCAGCCUCGUACUCCAGGGCUGUUCCCAGGCAAACCUGACAUUUUGUAGGGCUUCCUCCAACUCAGAAAUGCUUUUUGCCAACUUCUCCCUUUGCACAAGGACACCUAGGGACUACCUUCGUGGAGGACACCACCCUGUAAAGUUCCAUCUUCCUUAUUCCCAGAUCCCAACAGUAACCAAACCUCUGCCAGCUCCUGAAACACCAAAUCCCAAAUCCCGCCUGCAUCUGCAAACAAGAUGAGUCAGAGACCAGCACCCUCAGCACAGCACCACAGGUUUUUGUGGUUUGUCCGACACCUCUCUCAAAACACCUGGCUGAAGGUAGCAGCUCAGCAAGUUGCACUGGUUUCCUUAGCACACCCUUAAAAUAAACAAAUGCAGCAAGACCCAGGUGCGGGGCUCUUGUGCUAACUCAGUUUGCAAAAAUGCUGCUAAAUUGAUCAGUACCUGUCCUUAAAAUAUCUAGGACCCGUCCCAUGCAAUAUCUAGCACCAGCAAGCACU